rnacentral:lncRNA from 1 species
AACGUUGCUAUCUAUCUGACUGCUGCUUUUAUACGCCUGCAUAUCUGAAAUUGAAUUUUGAAAGUUUUGUGAAGAUUGUUGGAAUAUCAUUGUAAGGUAAGACUAUUUAUUUUUGUUUUAAGCGUUAUUUUCCACAGUAAGGCAAAUCCAAAGUAAAUUUAGCGAACAUUAUUGAUGUAUUUGUCUUCCUGUGAACUAUUCAACAACUUUUUUUUCUUAAACCUCAUUUUACACAACUUUUCAUUUUGGGACUGAUUUUUUUCCUGACGAAAGUACAAUUAGUAUAUUUCCGAUCAUCCAAGUUAACAGCCAGGCUACAAAGUUAGAAUAAUUGAACUAUUUUAAUAUUGGCUGUUUGCAAGAAUCAUUAACAUAAAACAAUCUUGUAUAUAAAAAAAGCUCUUGUAUGUCAAAUAAAGAAAAAGUAGCAAUUCCACCGCUGUCUACAGUGUUAUUUUUUUCACUUAUUUAUAUUUUGUUAUUGUUUUUUUAUUAACAUAUGUAAAAUUGUGUACAAUUGGCUUGAAAGUGCACCAUAAACAUAUAAAACAAUUAUAAAGUUAGUCGAAGACAGUCUGUUUAUCUAGCAGUAGUGUGCAUAUAAUUCAAAUGUAAUAAAUUGACACAUGUUAUCAACAUGAACAGGAGUAAAACUGCACAGAUUAUAGUAUUGAUGUUUGAAUGAGUCAUUAACGCCCAUUGUCUAACUAAAUGCAUAUUCCAGACGAGUACAGGCCGAAGCGCUUUUCUUUACUUUCCCUAGUUAUGCACAAAUGUAUCAUGGAUGUUUAAACACGGAGAUAUGUUGGAGGCAACAUAAUCCAAAUAUUUAAACCUUAAAAAUGGAAAAAAUAUCCGAGGUCAACUUUGCCUGGAAGUUGUUUGAACCCUUGUAAACUGCUGUUAAAAUAGUACUAUUUGCUAUUGGUGUUAUAAGAACAGGGAUCAUGUACAGUUAAACCUCGACCAUUAGAAACUAUGUCACAUGAUCGUUGACGUCUUUAACGUCAUAAUUCUAAUAUAUCUUUGGCAACGUCGCUAGUUUGUUAACUUGCCUUCAGCAGUGUACACGCUUUUUAAAGAUUUUAAACUAAUAUAACCAUUUGUCCGAGAUUCAGCAAUCGAGAACAACUUGGUAAGUUUAUAUUCAUACAUUAAAAAAAACAUUGAUAUAUUAUUGCAUGAACGAGCAAUAGGUUGGAUGAGCCAAACAAUGAGUUCUUUGAUCAGAGGAAAAAAAUGAGAAAGAGAGAGAUGGAGUGAGAAACUGAGAGAUUUAAUUACAACAAAUUAGGCAAAUUAUAUUUAAAAUUACCGAAUAAAACAGCUUUACUGUAAUAUUUGCACUUUUUUCAGAAUAGAAAUGGAGACCGAUAAUAGCAGUCUUGUGUGAAUAUCCGGAGUUUAAUGGUGUCAUUAUUUCAAGUUGCUUUCAGGUAAGUACUGACUACCAUCAUUAUGAUAUAUGUUCGCACUGCUAGUUAUAUAAUUUCUAGCUUGAAAUUUAUUCUAAAAUGUAAGAACUAUUGAGUAUUGGCUAAGAUUUUAACACUACAAAAAUGUAUAUUACUUCAAAUAAUAACCAAAUGCUCUCGCAGGGCGCAGCUUUAUACGACCGCAGAGGUCGAACCCUGAACAGUUAGGGCAAGUAUGGACACACCAUUUAAGCUUGAUACAGCUCUGAAUUUGGAUUGUGAUUAAAUAGUUGACACAACAUAGGUUUUUGACACAGAAUGAAUGUGGUCUAAGAACUUAAACUUUAAAACUUAAAAAUUUUAAUUUUGGACAUUUACCUAUUAUGGUCCAAUAUCCAAAAUCUAAAUACAUGGUUAGAUUCAGCAUAUCAUAGAACUCCAAGAAUUCAAUUUUUGAUGAAAUCAAAUAAUGUUCAAUUUUAGACUUCAAUGUGGACUCAAAUGGAAGUUUUUAACGACCUUGACUGGCUAUACAGCCCUUGCACGGUCGGUGGACUAAUUUGAUAACCGGGCCCAAAUAUUAAAAAUCUAAGUACAUGUUUAGAUUCAGCAUAUCAAAGAACCCAAAGAAUUCAAUUUUUGUUAAAAUCAAACUAAGUUUUAACUAAGUUUACGUAAAACAAUUUGAAAACAGGACCAAAAAUUAAGAAUCUAAAUACACGGUUAGAUUUGGCAUAUCAAAGAACCCUAAUAACUUAUUUUUAAAUGAAAUCAAACAAAGUUUAGUUUUGGACCCUUUUGGUCCCUUAUUCCUUAACUGUUGGACCAAACUCCAAAAUCAAUCCAACCUUCUUUUUUGUGUCAUAACCUUGUGUUAAAAUUUCAUAGAUUUCUAUUUUUAUACUAAAGUUAUUGUGGGAAAACCAAGAAAAAUGCUUAUUUGGGACCUUUUUUUGGCUCCAAUUCCUAAACUGUUAGGACCAAAACUCCCAAAAUCAAUCACAACCUUUCUUUUGUAGUCAUAAACCUUAUGUUAAAAUUUCAUAGAUUUCUGUUUUCUUAUACUAAAGUUUAUGUGCGAAAACCAAGAAAAAUGCUUAUUUGGGCCCUUUUUGGCCCCUAAUUCCUAAUCUGUUGUGACCAAAACUUCCAAAAUCAAUCCCUACCUUUCUUUUAUGGUCAUAAAAGAGGGACGAAAGAUACCAAAGGGACAGUCAAACUCAUAAAUUUAAAACAAACUGACAACCUCAUGGCUAAAAAAAAAACAACAAACAACAGCACACACGACCAACAUAGAAAAACUAAAGAAUAAACAACACGAAACCCCCAAAACUUAUCUCAGGUGCUAUCCUGCAUAAACCUUGUGUUUAAAUUUCUAGAUUUCUAUUUACUUAUACUAAAGUUAUAGUGCGAAAACCAAAUGUCUUCGGACGACGAAGACGACACCGCGCACGGACGACGACGUACGACCAAAUUUUUUUCAAUUUUUGCGGUCGUAUAAAAAAAUGUUAGACAUCUACAUUUUCUAAUUAAAAAAAAAAGUAAAACAUUCAGUGUGUCUGGCUCCUCUCUUUGAGACUUUCUCUUCACUUUUCGUGUAUUUUAUUGAAUGGAAUAUAAUUUUCCUUAACGGCGUUACAUAAAUUCUUAAUGAUCCUUGCUUUCAUUUUCAGCGAAAUAGAAGCUAACAUUAUGUCUGGCGCACAAAUAGUUAAUUGUAACGAGACUGAAAUACCACUGAAUAACAAUGAAGAAGAUAUAACAGACGACGAUGAAUGCGCUGCUUUUUACAAAUCCGUCAGAGAUGCUGAAUACAGUAAACUUGUUGACGCAUAUGCCAAAGAAAAGAUAAUCCUGGAAGAAAAGGAGAGAAAUAGGAAAGUAAGAGAACAAGAAAAGAUAAUUUCAACCAAAGAAAUAACAGACGACGAUGAAUGUGCUGCUUUUUACAAAUCCGUCAGAGAUGCUGAAUACAGUAAACUUGUUGACGCAUAUGCCAGAGAAAAUAUAAUCCAGGAAGAAAAGGAGAGGAAAUAGAGUUAACAAAAGACCAAGAAAAGAUAGAGAAGCAAUUUGAAGAAUUCUGGAAACCAGCCACUGACCUUGACUCACUGCGGCGUGUUUCCCAGGAGGUACUAACAUAUUUUUGUUUAAAUGCGUUUGAGUAAUUGGUGAUAAGGAACUUAGCAUUUUAAAAAAAAAAACUAUAGGACUAUAGGUACAGCAGUGUUUAUAUUUGUGUACAAAAUUAUGGUAUCAGUGUUUAUAUUAAAAACAAUUACACUUUCGUAAAAGCAACCCUCCAAUCAAUCAGUAGCUCAUAAAGUUUCCUUCCAUUUUUUUUUUUUAUUUUAUUUAAAUGACCUGUUUCAAUAUUUUGCGUAGAUAGCAAUAGUUUACUAUCUUAAAUUCAUAUAUUUAUAUUUUUUUUUUGUUGACAGGCAAGAGACAAUACAGAGAAGGAUUGGACUUCACAACAAGAUCUGUGUCUUAAAGAGGAACACAUAGAGAAAAGACAACAAGGACCCUUCCUUUCACCGGCGAAAGAAGAAAGAAUAAACUCAUUUGUGAGAGAACAGCAUAACAAUUACCAAAGCUUCCAAAUGACAGACACGUGGAAUGUAGCAAUCGACAGUAAGCACAUAUAGAAAUUAACCCCUUUAACGAAAAUAUGAGAUUUAAAAAAAAGGUCGAGGAACACGUAUGAAAAUAUAAACAAACGUGCCUAAAAGGAAAAUAAUCCUAACAAAUCAAACAUGAUAAUUGUUUUCGAUGUUAACCUAAAAUAAAUUAGAAAAAAUUUAUCUUAUGACAUGUUGAUUAAAAAUAACGUAGUUCCCAAGUGCAAACAUGGCCUGUUUCAUAUUUGAAAAUUUAAAAAUAUUAAACAAAAUAAUUUAAGAGCUUUUGAAACCAAAAAAGGACAUUAAAGUAUAAUAUAUAAUAACUAAAAUUACCGUAAUAAUGAGUUUGUCGUUAGAGACACAAGCAAUCGUUGGUGUUACAACAGUAACAGUGUGUGUUUUUUUCAAAUUUUCAAGUUUAUAAUUGAGAAACAUUUUUGCUUUGUUUUUCAGAAGAACUGGACGGAUCUGUAAUAAGUGAAACUGUUCCAAAUAAAAGGGGAUAUCUUCAAAGGAUAGCCGAUAUAGUAUU